CUUCCUCGCGAGCUUCCCCAUCCUUUCCAUCGGUAUUUGGACGCAGCCCCGGAGGAGACAGGUGAGGUCUCGACCCUCGUGGGGCUGGAGACUUCGAGCGUGGCACACAAACGUUAACGAUGCCGCAGGCUCUCCCUGCAGACCCCCUCGGCUCUUUGUCACCCCGAUCCGCUCUUAGGGUGUCUGCAAAGCGAAACACAUCAUAAAUCUCAAGACGGGCUGGAACCUGGAGACUUGUAAAAAGAGAGAGAGAAGAAAGGGGGGGGAGGCGGGGGGCGGGAAGGAAGGUGGCCAAGAGGGGCAUUUUGAUGAAGUCUCUGCCCUGGAAUGAAGCACUCCCCAUGACUCCGACCUAGAAGCAGUUUUCUCUUGGUACGAGGUGGGAUCGAUCCCCGCCGUCUGGGGCUGCUCUUCUCUCUCCCCUUCGCCACGCUCGCAGCGAAGAAC
rnacentral:lncRNA from 1 species